rnacentral:rRNA from 1 species
AUUGAACGCUGGCGGCAGGCCUAACACAUGCUAGUCGAGCGGAGCGGCGGACGGGUGAGUAAUGCCUAGGAAUCUGCCUGGUAGUGGGGGAGAACGCCCGGAAACGGGCGCUAAUACCGCAUAAUAUCAGAUGAGCCUAGGUCGGAUUAGCUAGUUGGGGGGGUAAAGGCCUACCAAGGCGACGAUCCGUAACUGGUCUGAGAGGAUGAUCAGUCACACUGGAACUGAGACACGGUCCAGACUCCGACGGGAGGCAGCAGUGGGGAAUUUUGGGCAAUGGGGGAAACCCUGAUCCAGCAAUCCCGCGUGUGCGAUGAAGGCCUUCGGGUUGUAAAGCACUGUUGGCAGGAAAGCGGUACCUGCAGAAUAAGCACCGGCUAACUACGUGCCAGCAGCCGCGGUAAUAC